UAUGACAUCAUCACAGGUCCUGUGGGCAUAAAACAAACACACGGCAGCUCUACAGGACAAGGUUCUUACGACAUAGAAUCAUCUCCAUUUGAUAUUUUCUGAUUCUGAGAGUUUUCCUGACUGACACAUUUAGGAUGGAUAGGGACAGAGACAAGAUGGCUGAGAAGAUAUUAAAUCUCACCCUAGAGAUACUCUUCCAACUUACUGGAGAGGAUUACACAGUGGUGAAGAAGACCUCUAGUGAGCGCUGUCAGGCCCCUGUGUCUGAAGGAUGGGGAAGAACCCUGAGCCCAAUCACAGGGCCUCCACCUCACUCCAUUAUACAUAAGGAAAUCAAUGAAGCAGAAGAUCCUAGAACUCAUCCACAAGAUGAUUGAGCUGCUGACUGGAGAGGUUCCUAUAAGGUGUCAGGAUGUCGCUGUCUAUUUCUCCAUGGAGGAGUGGGAGUAUG